rnacentral:rRNA from 1 species
UUCAGUAGGGANNAAGCGAAAGUGACGGUACCUGCAGAAGAAGCGCCGGCUAACUACGUGCCAGCAGCCGCGGUAAUACGUAGGGCGCAAGCGUUAUCCGGAAUUAUUGGGCGUAAAGAGCUCGUAGGCGGUUUGUCGCGUCUAUCGUGAAAGUCCGAGGCUCAACCUCGGAUCUGCGGUGGGUACGGGCAGACUAGAGUGAUGUAGGGGAGACUGGAAUUCCUGGUGUAGCGGUGAAAUGCGCAGAUAUCAGGAGGAACACCGAUGGCGAAGGCAGGUCUCUGGGCAUUAACUGACGCUGAGGAGCGAAAGCAUGGGGAGCGAACAGGAUUAGAUACCCUGGUAGUCCAUGCCGUAAACGUUGGGCACUAGGUGUGGGGGACAUUCCACGUUUUCCGCGCCGUAGCUAACGCAUUAAGUGCCCCGCCUGGGGAGUACGGCCGCAAGGCUAAAACUCAAAGGAAUUGACGGGGGCCCGCACAAGCGGCGGAGCAUGCGGAUUAAUUCGAUGCAACGCGAAGAACCUUACCAAGGCUUGACAUGUGCCAGAUCGCCGUGGAAACACGGUUUCCCCUUUGGGGCUGGUUCACAGGUGGUGCAUGGUUGUCGUCAGCUCGUGUCGUGAGAUGUUGGGUUAAGUCCCGCAACGAGCGCAACCCUCGUUCCAUGUUGCCAGCGCGUAAAGGCGGGGACUCAUGGGAGACUGCCGGGGUCAACUCGGAGGAAGGUGGGGACGACGUCAAAUCAUCAUGCCCCUUAUGUCUUGGGCUUCACGCAUGCUACAAUGGCCGGUACAAUGGGUUGCGAUACUGUGAGGUGGAGCUAAUCCCAAAAAGCCGGUCUCAGUUCGGAUUGGGGUCUGCAACUCGACCCC